rnacentral:rRNA from 2 species
CUUUGUGGGGUGACGGCGUGCCUUUUGAAGAAUGAGCCUGCGAGUUAGUGGCAUGUGGCGAGGUUAACCCGGGUGGGGUAGCCGUAGCGAAAGCGAGUCUGAAUAGGGCGUUGAGUCGCGUGUUCUAGACCCGAAGCGGAGUGAUCUAGCCAUGGGCAGGCUGAAGCGUGGGUAAGACUGCGUGGAGGGCCGAACCCACCAACGUUGAAAAGUUGGGGGAUGACCUGUGGUUAGGGGUGAAAGGCCAAUCAAACUCCGUGAUAGCUGGUUCUCCCCGAAAUGCAUUUAGGUGCAGCGUCGUGUGUUUCUUGCCGGAGGUAGAGCACUGGAUGGUCUAGGGGGCCUACAAGCUUACCGAAAUCAGCCAAACUCCGAAUGCCGGUAAGUGAGAGCGCGGCAGUGAGACUGCGGGGGAUAAGCUUCGUAGUCGAGAGGGAAACAGCCCAGAUCACCAGCUAAGGCCCCUAAGCGUGUGCUAAGUGGAAAAGGAUGUGGGGUCGCAUAGACAACCAGGAGGUUGGCUUAGAAGCAGCCAUCCUUGAAAGAGUGCGUAAUAGCUCACUGGUCAAGUGGUUCCGCGCCGACAAUGUAGCGGGGCUCAAGCACACCGCCGAAGCUGUGGCAUUCACGCGUGUACUUCGCAUGGCCCUUUUGGGGGUUGUGUGCAGGUGUGUGGAUGGGUAGGGGAGCGUCGUGCCGGGGGUGAAGCAGCCGAGUGAUCGAGUUGUGGACGCGGUGCGAGUGAGAAUGCAGGCAUGAGUAGCGAAAGAAGGGUGAGAAACCCUUCCGCCGGAUGACCAAGGGUUCCAGGGCCAGGUUAAUCCGCCCUGGGUGAGUCGGGGCCUAAGGCGAGGCCGAGAGGCGUAGUCGAUGGAUAACGGGUUGAUAUUCCCGUACCCGCGAAGGAGCGUCCCUGAUGAACCUCGUUGUGCUAACCAUCCGAGCUUGGUGUGGUCUUCGGACUGUGCUGGGGGAGCGUGGGAACCUGGCGGGUAGUAGUCAAGCGAUGGGGUGACGCAGGAAGGUAGCUGAGCCCGGCCGGUGGUUGUGCCGGGGUAAGCGUGUAGGCCGUGUCGUAGGUAAAUCCGCGGCGCGUGUGGCUGAGACGUGAUGCCGAGCCGAUUCAGGUGAAGUCAGUGAUCCUAUGCUGUCGAGAAAAGCCUCUAGCGAGUUCCGAGCGGCCCGUACCCCAAACCGACACAGGUGGUCAGGUAGAGAAUACCGAGGCGAUCGGGUGAACUGUGGUUAAGGAACUCGGCAAAUUGCCCCCGUAACUUUGGGAGAAGGGGGGCCGGAGACGUGAAGGCACGUGCUGCUGGAGCGUUGUAUGGCCGCAGAGAGCAGGGGGAAGCGACUGUUUACUAAAAACACAGGUCCAUGCGAAGAAGUAAUUCGAUGUAUAUGGACUGACGCCUGCCCGGUGCUGGAACGUUAAGGGGACCUGUUAGUCUUUCGGGGCGAAGCGGAGAACUUAAGCGCCAGUAAACGGCGGUGGUAACUAUAACCAUCCUAAGGUAGCGAAAUUCCUUGUCGGGUAAGUUCCGACCUGCACGAAUGGCGUAACGACUUCCCCACUGUCUCAACCACAGGCCCGGCGAAAUUGCAUUACGAGUAAAGAUGCUCGUUACGCGCGGCAGGACGGAAAGACCCCGGGACCUUUACUAUAGCUUGACAUUGGUAUCCGAAUUUGCUUGUGUAGGAUAGGUGGGAGCCGGUGAAGUGUGCACGCCAGUGCAUGUGGAGGCAAUCUUGAAAUACCACUCUGGUUGGUUUGGGUAUCUAACUUCGGACCGUUAUCCGGUUCAGGGACAGUGUCUGGUGGGUAGUUUAACUGGGGCGGUUGCCUCCUAAAGGGUAACGGAGGCGCCCAAAGGUUCCCUCAGCCUGGUUGGCAAUCAGGUGUUGAGUGUAAGUGCACAAGGGAGCUUGACUGUGAGACUGACGGGUCGAGCAGGGACGAAAGUCGGGACUAGUGAUCCGGCACUGGCGUAUGGAAGCGGUGUCGCUCAACGGAUAAAAGGUACCCCGGGGAUAACAGGCUGAUCUUCCCCAAGAGUCCAUAUCGACGGGAUGGUUUGGCACCUCGAUGUCGGCUCGUCGCAUCCUGGGGCUGUAGCAGGUCCCAAGGGUUGGGCUGUUCGCCCAUUAAAGCGGUACGCGAGCUGGGUUUAGAACGUCGUGAGACAGUUCGGUCCCUAUCCGCCGUGCGCGUAGGAUACUUGAGAAGGGCUGUCCCUAGUACGAGAGGACCGGGACGGACGAACCUCUGGUGUGCCAGUUGUCCCGCCAGGGGCACGGCUGGUUAGCUACGUUCGGAAGGGAUAACCGCUGAAAGCAUCUAAGCGGGAAGCUCGCUUCAAGAUGAGGUAUCCCAUCCACCCUUGU